rnacentral:rRNA from 1 species
UGGGGAAUAUUGCACAAUGGGGGAAACCCUGAUGCAGCCAUGCCGCGUGUGUGAAGAAGGCCUUCGGGUUGUAAAGCACUUUCAGCGAGGAGGAAAGGGGUGAUGCUAAUACCAUCAUCCUGUGACGUUACUCGCAGAAGAAGCACCGGCUAACUCCGUGCCAGCAGCCGCGGUAAUACGGAGGGUGCAAGCGUUAAUCGGAAUUACUGGGCGUAAAGCGCACGCAGGCGGUUGGAUAAGUCAGAUGUGAAAGCCCCGGGCUCAACCUGGGAACUGCAUUUGAAACUGUCUGACUAGAGUCUUGUAGAGGGGGGUAGAAUUCCAGGUGUAGCGGUGAAAUGCGUAGAGAUCUGGAGGAAUACCGGUGGCGAAGGCGGCCCCCUGGACAAAGACUGACGCUCAGGUGCGAAAGCGUGGGGAGCAAACA